UACGUAGGGGGCUAGCGUUGUCCGGAAUCAUUGGGCGUAAAGCGCGUGUAGGCGGUUCGAUAAGUCUGCUGUGAAAGUCCAGGGCUCAACCCUGGGAUGCCGGUGGAUACUGUCGGGCUAGAGUACGGAAGAGGCGAGUGGAAUUCCCGGUGUAGCGGUGAAAUGCGUAGAUAUCGAGAGGAACACCUGCGGCGAAGGCGGGUUGCUGGGCUGAUACUGACGCUGAGGCGCGAAAGCCAGGGGAGCGAACGGG
rnacentral:rRNA from 1 species